CCUACGGGAGGCAGCAGUGAGGAAUAUUGGUCAAUGGAGGAGAGUCUGAACCAGCCAAGUCGCGUGAAGGAUGACUGCCCUAUGGGUUGUACACUUCUUGUAUAUGGGAAUAAAAUGUUCCAAGUGUGGGAUUUUGUAUGUACCAUAUGAAUAAGGAUCGGCUAACUCCGUGCCAGCAGCCGCGGUAAUACGGAGGAUCAGAGCGUGAUCCGGAUUUAUUGGGUUUAAAGGGAGCGUAGGUGGAUUGUUAAGUCAGUUGUGAAAGUUUGCGGCUCAACCGUAAAAUUGCAGUUGAAACUGGCAGUCUUGAGUACAGUAGAGGUGGGCGGAAUUCGUGGUGUAGCGGUGAAAUGCUUAGAUAUCACGAAGAACUCCGAUUGCGAAGGCAGUUCACUGGACUGCAACUGACACUGAGGCUCGAAAGUGUGGGUAUCAAACAGGAUUAGAUACCCUUGUAGUC
rnacentral:rRNA from 1 species